AUUGAACGCUGGCGGCAUGCUUUACACAUGCAAGUCGAACGGCAGCGCGGGCUUCGGCCUGGCGGCGAGUGGCGAACGGGUGAGUAAUACAUCGGAACGUGCCCAGUAGUGGGGGAUAGCUCGGCGAAAGCCGGAUUAAUACCACAUACGACCUGAGGGUGAAAGCGGGGGAUCUUCGGACCUCGCGCUAUUGGAGCGGCCGAUGGCAGAUUAGCUAGUUGGUGGGGUAAAGGCCUACCAAGGCGACGAUCUGUAGCUGGUCUGAGAGGACGACCAGCCACACUGGGACUGAGACACGGCCCAGACUCCUACGGGAGGCAGCAGUGGGGAAUUUUGGACAAUGGGCGAAAGCCUGAUCCAGCAAUGCCGCGUGUGUGAUGAAGGCCUUCGGGUUGUAAAGCACUUUUGGCGGGAACGAAAAGGACUGUGCCAAUACCACGGUUCGAUGACGGUACCCGCAGAAUAAGCACCGGCUAACUACGUG
rnacentral:rRNA from 1 species